rnacentral:misc_RNA from 1 species
AUCGAGUUUUGAAAGGGGUUGUAGCUGGCCUUACGAGGCAUUGUGCACACCCUGCUCAAUCCACUCUACACCUGUGAACUAACUGUGGGUCUUUUGGGGGUUUGCAUCUGUUGUAAGCCUUUGGGGGCUCAUGUUUACUUUACAAACACUCAUAAAGUAAUGGAAUGUGUAUUGCGAUGUAAUGCAUCUUUAU